CUUGAUCAAAUUAACUUCAUAUCAAUAAAGCGGACGGACGGAAAAAAAUAUGCUGAAUAAGCAAUUAAUUAAAGAUGCUGCACCGACAUCAAACUCGCAUCGGCCGCUCCGCUUGAGAGCACUGACCAUACCAGACGUGGACCAGCGACAUAAUGUGCCCAGGGCAGAUGAACUGGUAAGUGUCAAAUAAAUAAUACGCCACGGCGUAUUCUUUUUUACUCCUCUCAGUCACUACUUGCACUCACCACGGCAUCCCUCGCUCCAUGUCCAAGAUGCCAUAGUGAUAGAAAGACGGGUCACCCAUUGCGAGGUUGAUAUGAGGCUCUACCGUGGUUGAGUGAUAUCCUGGGGUCGGCAUCGAGAGAUGACAAUCUCUCGUCCGGACAAAACGCCUUCCGCCGCAACUCGCGCUCCAUGUCCAAGAUGCCAUAGUGAUAGAAAGACGGGUCACACAUUGCGAGGUUCACAGCGAGCUCUCCGGCGGUCGAGGUACCCCAGAUAGGCAGAGAGAAAUGGCACUACCCCGUUCUAACCCCUGUGCACAUUACACCACUGGAACACUCCUGGCGGCCCCGCACUCGCGGCUGCGUAAGACCACGAGUUUCGUCGCUCUCAGUCCCCGACGGAUAACUCAGGUAAGUCGAACGGUAAGUAUAAAGUCCCAAACCUCUAGGUAUAUAUAAUCAUCCUACACACACACAUUCUUCACCGCUUGCCGACGAUGGGAUAUUCAUUGCAAGACGACUCUUAUGGAAGCAAUUUAAAACAGCUGCAAAUAAACGGCUUAGCAUACAUAGCAGCUCAAGGCAACAAAAACAACUUCAAGACUGGAUCCAAAAAUUAUGUGUCUCCUAAAACUAAAGCUAAGUAUCCAUUACUAUAAAUUCAAAAGAUAAUCCAAAUCCUAAUUCAUUUUUCUCUUAUCCUAUAGCUUCUUACACUACUGGCUAAUACCUAUGGACCUUGGGCCCAUGUGAUGGAAUCCAACUUAUAGCUAAAACGAAAAAACACGCACAUAAAUCCUACAGUUUAAACUGAUAUGCUAUGCCUAAAUACAAGGAAAGGAAUGUGAAUGGUGUAAUUUACAAACAGGUUACGUUCCGCUAACAUUAAUAAAACAAAAGGUAAUAAUGGGAUUGAAUUUGCCCCCUUAACGAGAAACCAAAGGUCACUGAAGGACAUCUAUAACAACAAGAAGGAAAACGGACGGACAGAAACGUCGCAAACGACCAUCAGAACUUGGAUCCCGUUAAGCCGUGACUUACGCCUCCUUCAUGGAUUAGAAAAAUACACUGCUACAAUUGUAUCCAUGUAAGUUUCAUGAAUUCCUCCAUGAGACUCACGGCUUCAGCUUCCAAUAACCCAUCACCGGGGCUUACGUGGGCGGAAAAUAUGAAACAAACAUGAAACGAUUGAAACUAUAAUGACGUGGUAAGCCUGAUCUCUCAGGCCCCACGUUGGGCGCCAUUUUCUUUGUCACGUACCCCCAUAGGAGGUCGCUCCACCUUUUCUCUGAAGUGGCAAUUGAUGCUGGCGGGCGCUGGCUGCUGGCGGUUGAGCUCCGGGUGUGGCUCAGUGGAUGGGGCGCGGUUCUUUGCCAACACCUAUUGCCAAAAAGGAGGGACAAAAAAAACUAAAAUCAACCAGCUUGUGGAUGGACAAAUACAGCGGGUUCCUGGUUCUAAUGGCGACUGUUCCGGAUUAAUGCCAAUGAAGUCCCCGGUUAUUGUGAUCCUGGUGGCAGCCUCUGCGGCUGCCAGAUACAGAUGCAACUGCUAAAAGCAAUAAUAAAGGAAACCGUGUAGCAUACAACGGCCAAUUUCAAUUUCUUGAAAAGCCAGUACAUGUUGAUCAAGUCAAUGAGCAGACAAGUUGGCAUUGGCACGCUUAUUCGGCUCGGCCUUAUUGCUCGUCGGUGGGUAUGGGAUCUUGCCAUUGUCAAGCUCGAAAACGCUACCAUAAAACUUUAAAAAGAAUUGUCUAUAAAGCGUGCAAGUUAAGCUAAGAUGGGGACGAAAUAGUAACGCAAGAAGUAGAAAAGAGAAAGAAGAAAGUCGAUUUCGCAGAGCCUAUUGUAUUCAGGUUAUAGUUGUAACAACCUGAAAAGUCUAUGCCCACCCAUCCAUGUUACCUGGUAUCCACCAAUAUAUCCCUGGUAACCCAUAACCAAAACCUCCCCUCUACGCUACUGCGGUGCCUUCAGGAAUCAAACAUAAAGAAAUUGCUUACCACAUAUCUAUCGAUUUCAUGAUUUUAUUCGACAUUGUAACCGAUAUUAAUUCAAAAACAAACAUAUUCAUUUUAAAUUCACAAACAUUUUUUUUUUAAACCCUUAUAUAUAUAUAUAUA